rnacentral:rRNA from 1 species
UACGUAGGGGCAAGCGUUGUCCGGAUUUAUUGGGCGUAAAGAGCGUGUAGGCGGCCAUACAGGUCAGCUGUGAAAACUCGAGGCUCAACCUCGAGAGGUCGGUUGAAACCGUAUGGCUAGAGUCCGGAAGAGGAGAGUGGAAUUCCCGGUGUAGCGGUGAAAUGCGCAGAUAUCGGGAAGAACACCCGUGGCGAAGGCGGCUCUCUGGGACGGUACUGACGCUGAGACGCGAAAGCGUGGGGAGCGAACGAGG